rnacentral:lncRNA from 1 species
AGAAGCAGGCACCAGCUAGUGUGCGAAUUCAGAGGAAGGAGACCGAAUCCAGCCUGGGCACAGGAGGGAAAGCGUCCUGGAGGCAGCUGGUCCCCAGGUGGCCCUUAAGGAUAAAGAAAAGUUAGCUUGGUGAAGGGCUGAGGAAGGCAGUGAGCCUUCUAGGAAGAGGGGAGAAAUCAAGCACAGGCGUGGCCCUGACACGGAGGGUGAGUGUGCAAUGUUGGCUGGGAAGGUGUGAGAGGUGACGAGGGGCCAGAGAUAGGUGGGGCACAUGGGUGUGGCUAUGCUCUGUCCACGGAAGACCAGAAAGGGCGGGCUAAGGAACUGAGGCCUCACCCUGCCUGGGGCACUGGGAGCCACUGGGGAAUCUAGGCAGAGAUCUGACCCCAUCUAGUCUUGGCUCGGGAGAGAGCCCUCAGAGGGCAUGUGGACAAGGAAGGCGGGCAGGCUGAGGCUGGGGUCCAGGCCAGCUCCCACCAGGCCUCCCUCUUCUCAACCCCUCAACCCUAGGCUGCACAGAAGGUGGCUCUCACUGGGAACAUGGCCAAGAGUGGACAACACCUGGGGACCCCUGCCGAAUCUGCCGGUGCCUGGAGGGUCACAUCCAGUGCCGCCAGCGAGAAUGUGCCAGCCUGUGUCCAUACCCAGCCCGGCCCCUCCCAGGCACCUGCUGCCCUGUGUGUGAUGGCUGUUUCCUAAACGGGCGGGAGCACCGCAGCGGGGAGCCUGUGGGCUCAGGGGACCCCUGCUCGCACUGCCGCUGUGCUGUGAGUGUGGCUGCCUGGCAGGGAGGGCCUGGCUCCGGGGCCUGCCUCUGGCGUGCUGACCAGGCCCUGUUGGCAGAAUGGGAGUGUCCAGUGUGAGCCUCUGCCCUGCCCGCCAGUGCCCUGCAGACACCCAGGCAAGAUCCCUGGGCAGUGCUGCCCUGU